UAGGGGAAUCUUCCACAAUGGGCGCAAGCCUGAUGGAGCAACACCGCGUGAGUGAAGAAGGGUUUCGGCUCGUAAGCUCUGUUGUUAAAGAAGAACACGUAUGAGAGUAACUGUUCAUACGUUGACGGUAUUUAACCAGAAAGUCACGGCUAACUACGUGCCAG
rnacentral:rRNA from 1 species